GACGAACGCUGGCGGCGUGCUUAACACAUGCAAGUCGAACGGUAAGGCCCUUCGGGGUACACGAGUGGCGAACGGGUGAGUAACACGUGGGUGAUCUGCCCAGCACUUCGGGAUAAGCCUGGGAAACUGGGUCUAAUACCGGAUAGGACCACUGCCUGCAUGGGUGGUGGUGGAAAGCUUUUGCGGUGUGGGAUGGGCCCGCGGCCUAUCAGCUUGUUGGUGGGGGGAUGGCCUACCAAGGCGACGACGGGUAGCCGGCCUGAGAGGGUGACCGGCCACACUGGGACUGAGAUACGGCCCAGACUCCUACGGGAGGCAGCAGUGGGGAAUAUUGCACAAUGGGCGCAAGCCUGAUGCAACGACGCCGCGUGAGGGAUGACGGCCUUCGGGUUGUAAACCUCUUUCAGCACCGACGAAGCGCAAGUGACGGUAGGUGCAGAAGAAGGACCGGCCAACUACGUGCCAGCCGCCGCCGUAA
rnacentral:rRNA from 1 species